UUUUUUUUUUUUUUUUAAUGAUAGUCAUACAGAGAGAGAGAGAGAGAGAGGCAGAGGGAGAAGCAGGCUCCAUGCACCGGGAGCCUGAUGUGGGACUCGAUCCUGGGUCUCCAGGAUCGCACCCUGGGCCAAAGGCAGGCGCCAAACCACUGCGCCACUCAGGGAUCCCUCUUUCCAGUAUCUUUGAAGAGUACGUAACAGUACUUACCUGGCAGGGACCACCUUGCAGAACUUUCUCUCCUGCUCUCUUAUGGACACCUAUGAAGCCAAGCUCCUAGGGUGGACUCAUAUCCUUUCACUAUCAGGGGUCCCUAUUGCACAGCCCAGGGGUCCCUAUUGUCCUGCAACAGUAGCAAGUUAUAAGGUAUCAGUUAUCAAGUAAAGGUCCCAUUUAGCUCCCAGACAGUAGUACUACCCCUCUUGUCUCCUCCCUCAUCAUAGCCAAGGCCUGUUGGAUUCUUUCCAUUUCAAAAUGUCUCCCAUUGUUAAAAAGCUUAAAAAAAAAAAAAAAUUUAAACCCCGGGGAUCCCUGGGUGGCUCAGCAGUUUAGUGCCUGCCUUUGGCCCAGGGUGUGAUCCUGGAGUCCCAGAAUCGAAUGCCGCAUCGGGCUCCUUGCAUGGAGCCUGCUUCUUCCUCUGCCUGUGUCUCUGCCUCUCUCUCUCUCUCUCUCUCUCUCUCUCUGUCUAUCAUGAAUAAAUAAAUAAUCUUUAAAAAAAUAAAUAAAAAAUAAAAAUUUUAAGCCCCUUUCCUUGACCCCACAUCCUUCCUCCAGCCAAGCACUUCCCUACAUAGGAAAAUUGCUCAAAGAGGUAGUACAUGUUGUCUCUACUUCCUCGUUCUCUCAUUCCUUCUGAUGUCCCGUCCAACCAUCGUUGCUGCCCUGAGACUCCUUGUCAAGCAGUGACCUUGACCGCUCUUUUCACUUGCCCUCCAAGACAUCCUACUUCUGAUUUUCCUACUUCCUUACUAAUGAUCAUUCUCAGCUAUUUGCUGGAUCCUUCCCCUCACCCUGAUUUCUAUUCCUAUAUGGGAUCUAGAUGAUUUGCUUUAAUGCCAUCUGUAUGCCAAUGACUUCCAAAGGUCUUUAUCUAGCCUACAUCCUUCUUUGAUUCCAGACUCCUUUAUCCAACUGAAUACCCCUCGUGUCCACCUGGAGGUCUAGACCAACUUAACAGCUGUAAAAGCAAACUCUUGAUUACCCACCCAAACUGCUCCACUUUUAAGGGUCUCAUCUCUAAAAAAAAUAAUAAUAAUAAUAAGGGUUUCAUCUCAGUAGAGGGCAAUUCCAUUUACCCAAUAUAUCAGGCCAAAAACUUAGGAGCGAUUCUUGAUUCUUCCCUUUUUAUCACACUCAACUUCUAAUAAACUAACAAGUCCUAUCUGCUCCAUCUCCAAAAUAUCUCCAGAAUCCGACCUCCUCCUACCAGCUUCAUCACCACCAUUGGUACAAGCCAAAGCCAACUCUUAGCCUUGUCUACUGCAGUAGUCCCCUUUCGGGUCUCCCUACUUCCAUUUUUGCCCCAUACCACUGAUUUUCUAUGAAGCAGGUAGUGAGGGUUUUGUUUUGUUUUUUGUUUGUUUUUGUUUUUUUGUUUUUUAAGGUAAACCAGUUAAAAAUCCUUUCAAAGUGCCGUCAUGCUCAAACGAAAACCUGAACUUCAUACCAUGCCCUACAAUACCUGCCUACAUCUUCAACCUUACUUCCCAUAAUUCCUGUUGUUCACUCUACUCGAAUACCGUGGCCUUCUUGCUCCACCUAAAUUGCUAAGUCUCCUUGGAAACUUUAUGCAUCUACACUAUUCCCCAAUCAUUGCAUCGCUGGCUCCCUCAUUUAUCCAGGCUUCUGGUCAAAUGCCAGCUCCCCAGGAAGGCCUUGCCUGCACUAACCCACUCUCUCGUUCCUUUAUUACUUUAUUUAAAAAAAAGAAAAAAAAAAACCAAUAA
rnacentral:lncRNA from 1 species